AUUGAACGCUGGCGGCAUGCCUUACACAUGCAAGUCGAACGGCAGCGCGGGGGCAACCCUGGCGGCGAGUGGCGAACGGGUGAGUAAUAUAUCGGAACGUACCCAAGAGUGGGGGAUAACGUAGCGAAAGUUACGCUAAUACCGCAUACGAUCUAAGGAUGAAAGUGGGGGACCGCAAGGCCUCACGCUCCUGGAGCGGCCGAUAUCUGAUUAGCUAGUUGGUGGGGUAAAGGCCUACCAAGGCAUCGAUCAGUAGCUGGCCUGAGAGGACGACCAGCCACACUGGGACUGAGACACGGCCCAGACUCCUACGGGAGGCAGCAGUGGGGAAUUUUGGACAAUGGGGGCAACCCUGAUCCAGCAAUGCCGCGUGAGUGAAGAAGGCC
rnacentral:rRNA from 1 species